UUUUCUUUAUGUGCAAUAUACAAUAUGUUUAUGAAUAAAUAUCUCGAUAUUGUCAACCGAGGAAAACAAUAAAUCAUGGAGAUGGAUUGUAACAACAACAACAACAAAAAUAACAACGACAUAAAAAACACCAUUAUGUGAGAUGGAUUGCAAUUAUUGGAAAACAAUAUUUUUUCAAGGUUGGUGUUAGAAGAACAACAUACAACACAUAAUUUUGAAG
rnacentral:lncRNA from 1 species